GUGUCAGCAGCCGCGGUAAUACCGGCAGCUCGAGUGAUGACCGAUUUUAUUGGGCCUAAAGCGUCCGUAGCUGGCCGCGCAAGUCUGUCGGGAAAUCCACCCGCUUAACGGGUGGGCGUCCGGCGGAAACUGUGCGGCUUGGGACAGGAAGGCUCGAGGGGUACGUUCGGGGUAGGAGUGAAAUCCCGUAGUCCUGAACGGACCACCGAUGGCGAAAGCACCUCGAGAGGACUGAUCCGACAGUGAGGGACGAAAGCUGGGGUCUCGAACCGGAUUAGAAACCCUCGUAGUCC
rnacentral:rRNA from 1 species